CAGGAUGAAAAAUCAGAAAAUUAAAAUGCCUCUUGCUGUCUUUACUGCCUUCAGCAUUGGUGUCAUCGUUCCUAUAUAUGCUGUCAUUUUCCAGCAGAAAAAGACUGCUUCUGCGUGAGUCAUGAUGCGUUGGUGCAGUAACUGGAACAAGUUUGAAAUGCAUUUCUUGGGGACUGUUGGCAUUCCUAAGUUGGGUUCAUUUUGGUUCUUUUUGCUGUUAGUUUUCAAUGUUUAAUGUUGGCAAAUAGGAUUUGAAGACUUGUUUUUUCAUAAUAAUAUCAUACAGUAACAAAUCGAUUCUGAAUGAAUCGUGGGUUCAAAUACUUUGCUUCCUUUAAUAAUGCUUAACAUGGUGCUUUGAAAUCAAAUCUUUUUUUUUUUUUUUCAGCAAAAAUAAAA
rnacentral:misc_RNA from 1 species